GGCUGCUUCCUGAGGAGGAGUGUUCCAUAGUCAGAAGCUCUUAUCACCAUCUGGGUGUUGUAGAAGUUCAAAGGAAGAUGCAAAUCUUGUUGUCUCCUUACUUAAGACAAGGAAGAACAAUCGAGUUCUGCUAGCAAUAAGCCUAAUCCUUCAAUCUUAAGCAAGAAAAAGUCCUUCCUCAAAUUUAUCUCUGUGACUGAACAGCAUUUCUGUGAGCAAGAGCCAGCGGAUCUAGUCUCAAACCCUUUGAAAGAGCUGAUCUGACUUGGCACUCCGCUUCUUUGUCAUCUUAGCAGAGACUGUAAUUGCAAGCAAAGGCUUUCUGGGACCAUCUGACUUCUCCAAGUGAGGAAAAUAGCCAAAUCUGUUUUAUUGAAAGCAGAACGAUAUCCUUUGGAGAUUACUGAACAAUAUCAUGUUUUUGACAUUUAGCUCUUCUCUUUUUCAUCUAGGAAAGUAGCAACAACUGCAAAUGCAUCCAAAAGCCAGGAAAGGUUUUUUUUUUCACGAGGGAUUGUAGGGUUUUCUUGCUGCACACGUCUUGGUUUUGUAUGCUAAUCUCCGUGACAGAGUGUGCUUGAUUCUCCUCCCAUUCAUAUCAGUGACAAAACUCCCACAGAUUUUAGCUGGAACAGCAUCAAACCCUAUUUUGCUGAUAGUUUGAAAGAAAAAUCAUAUUUUGUUAUAUCUCAUUUAUAAUUCUUGGCCCCUUUCCUUCAGAGCCUCUGUCUAGAAGCAUGAAG